rnacentral:rRNA from 1 species
UACAGAGGUGGCAAGCGUUGUUCGGAAUUACUGGGCGUAAAGGGCGUGUAGGCGGUCGCCUAAGUCAGACGUGAAAUCCCCAAGCUUAACUUGGGAACUGCGUCUGAUACUGGGUGGCUUGAGUUCGGGAGAGGAAUGUGGAAUUCCAGGUGUAGCGGUGAAAUGCGCAGAUAUCAGGAGGAACACCAAUGGCGAAGGCAGCUCGCUGGGACGUGACUGACGCUGAGACGCGAAAGCGUGGGGAGCAAACAGG